AACGAACGCUGGCGGCAUGCCUAACACAUGCAAGUCGAACGGUAACAGGUCCUUCGGGAUGCUGACGAGUGGCAAACGGGUGAGUAACGCGUGGAUAUCUACCUUGACGUGGGGGACAACAGUUGGAAACGACUGCUAAUACCGCAUGUGCCUUACGAGGGAAAAGCUCUUCGGAGUUGCGUUGAGAGGAAUCUGCGUCGGAUUAGUUAGUUGGUGGGGUAACGGCCCACCAAGACGACGAUCCGUAGCUGGUCUGAGAGGAUGAUCAGCCACACUGGGACUGAGACACGGCCCAG
rnacentral:rRNA from 1 species